GGUCAAGUUAUUAAGGGUGCAGGGCGGAUGCCUUGGCACUAGGAGCCGAUGAAGGACGUGAUAAGCUGCGAUAAGCUUCGGGGAGUUGCACGUAAACUUUGAUCCGAAGAUUUCCGAAUGAGGAAACUCACUUAGAGUAAUGUCUAAGUAUCAUUAAGUGAAUACAUAGCUUAAUGAGGGGAACUCAGGGAACUGAAACAUCUAAGUACCUGAAGGAAGAGAAAGAAAUUCGAUUCCGUAAGUAGCGGCGAGCGAACGCGGAUUAGCCCAAACCAAUAAAGUUUUCUUUAUUGGGGUUGCGGACAUAUCAUAACGAAGAGGUAUCGUAAUUGAAGAGGUUUGGAAAGACCCACCACAGAAGGUAAUAGUCCUGUAUGUUAAACGAGAAGACUUUAGAUAUGAUCCAGAGUACCACGGGACACGUGAAACCCUGUGGGAAGCAGGAGGGACCACCCUCCAAGGCUAAAUACUACCUAGUGACCGAUAGCGUAUAGUACCGUGAGGGAAAGGUGAAAAGAACCCCGGGAGGGGAGUGAAAUAGAACCUGAAACCCUGCACUUACAAGCUGUGGAAGCACAUUUCUUGUGUGACCGCGUACUUUUUGUAGAACGGGCCAACGAGUUACGUUAAGUAGCAAGGUUAAGCACUUAAGGUGCGGAGCCGUAGCGAAAGCGAGUUUUAACUGAGCGUUCAGUUACUUGACGUAGACCCGAAACCGGGCGACCUACCCAUGAGCAGGAUGAAGCGAAAGUAAAAUUUCGUGGAGGUCCGAACCCACGAGCGUUGAAAAGCUCGGGGAUGACUUGUGGGUAGCGGUGAAAUUCCAAUCGAGCCCGGAGAUAGCUGGUUCUCCCCGAAAUAGCUUUAGGGCUAGCCUCAAGGUGAGAGAUACGGAGGUAGAGCACUGAAUGUCCUAGGGGGUAUUGCACCUACCGAAGACUAUCAAACUCCGAAUGCCGUCAUCUUAUACUUGGGAGUCAGACUGUGGGUGAUAAGAUUCAUAGUCGAAAGGGCAACAGCCCAGAUCGUCAGCUAAGGUCCCUAAAUGUAAGUUAAGUGGUAAAGGAUGUGGGAUUGCACAGACAACCAGGAUGUUGGCUUAGAAGCAGCCACUCAUUCAAAGAGUGCGUAAUAGCUCACUGGUCGAGUGAUCCUGCGCCGAAGAUUUCCGGGGCUAAAACUUACUACCGAAGCUACGGCAUCAGUAAUGAUGGGUAGGGGAGCUUCCCAUACGGGUUGAAGCAUGACCGUAAGGACAUGUGGACAGUAUGGGAGUGAGAAUGUUGGCAUGAGUAGCGAGAUGUGGGUGAGAAUCCCACAGGCCGUAAACCCAAGGUUUCCAGGGGAAGGUUCGUCCGCCCUGGGUUAGUCGGGACCUAAGCUGAGGCCGAAAGGCGUAGGUGAUGGACAACAGGUUGAUAUUCCUGUACUACCGAUAACCGUUUGAGAGAUGGGAUGACACAGUAGGAUAAGCUAAGCACACUGUUGGUUAUGUGUGCCCAAGCAUUGAGGCAGUCAAAGUAGGCAAAUCCGCUUUGAUAAUGCUGGGAUGUGAUGGGGAGCGAAAUUUAGUAGCGAAGUAGCUGAUUUCACACUGUCAAGAAAAGUCUCUAUCGAGGUUAAAGGUACCCGUACCGCAAACCGACACAGGUGGGUGAGGAGAGUAUCCUAAGGCCAGCGAGAGAACUGUUGUUAAGGAACUCGGCAAAAUGACCCCGUAACUUAGGGAUAAGGGGUGCCACCAUCAGGUGGCCGCAGAGAAUAGGCCCAAGCGACUGUUUACCAAAAACAUAGGUUUCUGCUAAGUCGCAAGACGAUGUAUAGGAGCUGACGCCUGCCCGGUGCUGGAAGGUUAAGGGGAUCUGUUAGAGCAAUCGAAGCAGUGAACUUAAGCCCCAGUAAACGGCGGCCGUAACUAUAACGGUCCUAAGGUAGCGAAAUUCCUUGUCGGGUAAGUUCCGACCCGCACGAAAGGCGUAACGAUUUGGGCACUGUCUCAACAACAGACUCGGUGAAAUUGUAAUUCCGGUGAAGAUGCCGGAUACCUGCGACAGGACGGAAAGACCCCAUGGAGCUUUACUGUAGCUUGACAUUGGGUCUUGGUACUACAUGUACAGGAUAGGUGGGAGGCUUUGAAACCAGGACGCCAGUUUUGGCGGAGCCAUCCUUGGGAUACCACCCUUGUA
rnacentral:rRNA from 1 species